CAAGGGAAGAGGAGAAAAAAAAGUGACUUUACCAAGAUGACACUGCUAAACAAAAUCAGAAAACUUAUUUUUGAAGGUAAAGUUUAAAGUUUUUCUGGUUGAACUCAAAAAUAAGUUUUCUGAUUUUGUUUAGCAGAGUCAUCUUGGUAAAGUCACUUUUUUUUCUCCUCUUCCGUU
rnacentral:miRNA from 1 species